rnacentral:lncRNA from 10 species
UUGGCCAACACAUGCUUCACCCUUUCAGGCAGCUGACAUAAUUGAGCUAAGACAGGAUGUCCAGGAUGUCAUCUUUCAAGGUAUUAAUGUAAUACUAGGUUUCUCUCAAUUUGUAAUCCAUUUGUUCAUUCUUUUACCCUCAGCUACUAUUCUUCCUUCUCUUCAUUUAUACCCAAACUUUUCCACCUCUGGAAGAGACAUUAGGUUCAGCUACUGUGCUUGUCUACACUGCAGGCAACAAUACUAGUCUAGCAGCAAGUUCCUUCCCUUCAGUUCAUUCCCAUUGACAUAGGAUAAGGUGAAACAGGUGCAAAACUGUGGAUGAUGAUGCAGGAUAUUUUCAUGACCCCUUUGUUGGAUUAAUGGCAGGGUGUCUCGUUUACUUAGCCUACCCCAUUCAACCCCUUGUGGGAGGGAGCCUGUGAGCAAACGGGCACAGGAACUGACUGGCUUCUGUGGUGCCAGCAAAAGCAAAUUCCACUUGCUUGGGUCUGCUGUGCUUCACCCCUCAUGGGAGGACGCAUGCAGGUGAGCAAGUGCAGAAACCAGCUGCUUUAGUGCCAGCAGGAGUGAACUCUGUGCAGGCCCCAUGGCAGCAUCUAGCUGGAGGUGGCUGCGACCCCAAGGCCCCAGAGGGCGUGUUACAAUGCUCUCUUAGCUCCAUUGUCUGAAGACAGCAGUGUGUUAUCAGCUCAGUGGGCCCUUUGCCUCAUUUUGUGGGGUGGCUGCCCUCCACCAGCAAGGGCAAAGGGCCAGUGUGACAGCCUUUUUGGGUACCUGCACCUGGUGAGUCCCAAAUUCUUAUCUGGUGCCCAAGAGGAAUAAGGUCCCGCAGACGAAUUGAAGGAUGGUGAAUGUGGAGCAUUUUAUUGAGUAAUGAAAGUGGCUCUCAGAGGAGAGGGGAGCUGGAAAGAGGAUGGGAAGGGCAGGUCGCUGUCCCCUGAAGUCAAGCUGCCUCUCUACCUCUCUCUUCCAAAGUUAAGUUGCCUCAUCCAGCCACCAUCUCUGAAGUCGAAGUUGCCUCUCCCCAGUGUCCAGCUGCUUCUUCUGAUGUCCAGCCACUUCUUCUCUCUGUCAGCUGAGUAUGGGUUCUUUAUAGGCACAGGAUGGGAUCAAGGGGGCUGUAGGUAGUUUUGGAAAAGGCAACAUUCAAUUGGUAAAAAGACAUUACUCAGAACCAAUCAGGAGAGAGUGGGCUAACAGAAAUGGAAGUUCUCACUUUGGGCCGUGGGUUUCAGGCUUUUUGUCUCGAAGGUGGGGUUUUGCCAGAGACCUACCCCAUUUGUCUAGAAUUUCUGUGCCUUCUGUUGCUAACACUGUUUUUACCACCAGGCCAUAUAGUUGCAUUUACUGCUAACCCCAAUUAUGCUAGAUGGAGUGAAGUACAACCCACUUCUAUCAGGCCCUUAGGAAUUCUAGCAUAAGAUUUCUUAGGAAUUAUACCUACUUCCAGCACUUGUAGUCGUAGCCCUGGUCCUGUGACCACUGCAUCAGGUAGGGAGAUAAAAGUUGAGGUAAUACAUGGAGAAAAGGAAAAAAGUAGGAUCAUUAUACCAGCAUAUUCCCCCCUUGGCAAGAAUCGCAUAGUCAUACCUGCAUACUCUCCAAUCCCUCUUCCUCAGAUGCACCAGAAAAAUGGAGAAUUUUAGAUCCUUUAGUUCCACUAGUGUUGAGUGUGAGCACACAGUCAUGAAGGUGUGUAAUCCAAUCUUUAUGCUUUUAAAUAGUGGUUUUAAAUCAAUGUUUUAAUUGCCUGUUCUACUUCCCUAUCAAACCAUUACUCUAAGGAGAAUAUCUCUCUGCCUAUUGCUGGACAUUACAGGCUGUACAGUGUGUUCCUUAGUCUGAAGAAAUGAUAUUGGCCAAUAAAUCCAUGCAAUAUCUUAUUUUCUGGUUUAUAUCUAUAUCUCCUUUUUCCCAGAUAUGAACCACAAUUCUUAAGGUUACUGGUAAAUACAAUUAGCGUAUUACAUAAUUGUUUAUUUCCUUUAACCCACACAACAUGCAAUAGUUUCAGAAUAACAGUACUAAAUGCAACCAACAAUAUGAUUACUGAAAAUAGUUUUGAUCUUUUUGUUUUUCAUCUCUUUUGUGCUGCAAUGAUAUCACUGUGUUUUAAACUCACUUGGAAUAGUUAGCCUCUAUGUUUAUGCCUCCAACUAAGUAUACAAUUAAGUUAAUUUGUUAUGUUUUAUUCUCAAUUUGUAGAUGUCUUUUAAAAAAUUAUCUUUUGUUUUACAAUAAGGUAGGAAAUUCACAUGGCUCCAAAGUCAAACAUACCAAGCAGUUUGUAGUAAGCACAAUCACAUCUCCCUAACGAUGUUUACCUCCUAAACCAGAUGUGUGGUGCAAGAAAAGGGUCCAAUUUCAUUCUUUUGCACGUGGAUAUUUGGUUAUCCCAACACCACUUAUUGAAGAGACUCUCUUUUCUUCAUUUUGUCUUCUUGGUGCUCUUGUCAAAAAUUUGUUGAAUGUAUAUAGAUGGUUAAUUUUGGGCUCUCUAUUCGGUUCCAUUGGUCUGUUUCACAGUAUCAUACUGUUUUGAUUAAUGUAGCUUUACAUGUUUUGAAGUCAGAAAGUGUAAGGCCUCCAGCUUUGUUGUUUCUCAAGAUUGCUUUGUCUAUUUGGGUUCAGCUAUUGUUUGUCUAAAUUUUAUGGUUCCAUAUACAUUUUAGGAUUCUUUUUCUACUUCUGCCAAAAAAUGUGACUGGUAUUUUUAUAAGGAUUACUUUGAAUCUGUAGGUCACUUUGGGUAAUGUGGACAUCUUAACAAUGUUAAGUACAUUCCAUGUACAUAUGGUGUCUUUUCAUUUAUUUAUGCCUUCUUUAAUUUUUUUAAUCAAUAGUCUAUAGUUUUCAGGGCAUAAGUCUUCACCUCCUUGUUUGAACUUAUUCUUUAGUAUUUUACUCUUUUGAAUGCCAUUGUAAAUGAGAUUGUUUUCUUAAUUUAUGUUUGCUUUGAUUUUUUGUAGUGUAUAGAAAUGUGACUGAUUUUUGUAUCUUAAUCCCACAACUUGGAUUUAGGUAGUUUUAUCCUGAAACUUUGCUGAGUUAAUUUUUCAAUUCUAACAGUUUUUGUGUGGCAUUGUUUUGGUUUUCUACUUAUAACAUUAUGACAUCUGUGAACAAAGAUAAUGUGACUUCUUCCUUUCAGAUUUGGAUGACUUUUAUUUUUUAUCUUGCCUAAUUGCUCUAGCUACGACUUCUAGAACUAUGUUGAAUAAAAGUAGUGACAGUAGGUAUCCUUGCCUUUUACCUGAUCUUGAGAAAAAGCUUUUAGCUUUUAGCUAUCGAGUAUGAUAUUAGCUAUGGACUUUUCAUUUCCUUUGUUAUUGGAAAGUAAUUUCCUUCUAUUCCUAGUUUGUUGAGUGUUUUUGUCAUGAAAGAGUGUUGAACAUUCUCAAAUGCUCUUUCUGCAUCUAUGGAAAUCACCAUGUCAUUUUUAUUCUUUGUUAUGUUAAUGUGGUAUGUCAUUAUGAUUGAUUUUUGUAUGUUGAACUGUCCUUUCAUUCCAGGAAAAAUUUCACUUUGCUAUGGUAUAUAGUGCCAUUAAUGUACUGCUAAAUUUGGUUUGCUAGGUGACAAUUUUUGCAUCUCUAUUCAGAUUGGUCUUGAAUUUUUUUUCUUGUAGCCUCUUUGUCUGCCUUUGGUAUCGGGGAAAUGUUGGCUUCAUAAAAUGAGUUUGAAAAUAUUCCCUUCUCUUCACUUUUUUUGGAAGAGUUUAAGAAGGAUUUGGCAUUAAUUAUUUAAAUUUUGAUGGAAUUAACUAGUGAAGCUAUCUGGUCAUGGGCUCUUCAUUGUUGGGAGGUGUUUGAUUGUGAUUCUAUCAUUUUACUAGUUUUAGGUCUGUUCAGAUUUUCUAUUUAUCAUGGUUCGGACUUGGUAGGUUGUAUGUUUCUAGGAAUUUAUUCGUUUAUUCUAGGUUACCGAUGUGUUGAUGUAUAAUUGUUCAUACUAGUGUUCUGUAAUACUUUUUAUUUCUGUGUUAUCUUUUUUAAUGUUUCCUCUUUCAUUUCUGAUUUUAUUUGAGUCUUCUGCAUUUUUCCUUUUUUUCUUUUUCUUUUUCUUUUUUUUUUUUUUUUUUUUUUUUUGAGACGGAGUCUCACUUUGUCACCCAGGCUGGAGUGCAGUGGUGUGAUCUUGGCUCACUGGAACUUCCAUCUCCAGGGUUCAAGUGAUUCUCCUGCCUCAGCCUCCCAAAUAGCUGGGAUUACAGCUGCACACUACCAUGCCUGACUAAUUUUGUAUUUUUAGUAGAGAUGAGGUUUCGCCAUGUUGGUCAGGCUGGUCUCAAACUCCUGACCUCAGGUGAUCCACCCACCUCGGCCUCCCAAAGUGCAGGGAUUACAAGUGUCAGCCACCAUGCCUGGCCCCUGGAUUUUUUCUUAAUAUAACUAAAGGUUUGUCAAUUUUAUUGAUCUCUUCAAGAAAGAAUCUUUACAUUUAUUUUUUUUUUUUUUACUGUUUUUCUAUUCUCUAUUUCAUUUAUUUCUGCUCUAAUCUUAUUGUUUUUUUCCUUCUGUAACUUUGGACUUAGUUUGUUCUUUUUCUAGUUCCUUGAGGUUAGAUUACUAAUUUGAGAUAUAUGUAUAUUUUUAUACAUAAAGUUUACACUAUAAACUUUCUUCUUAGUACUGCUUUUACUGCAUCCCAUGAGUUUUGGUAUAUUGUGUUUCUAUUUUCAUUUGUCUCAAGAUAUUUCCUAAUUUACCUUCUGAUUUCUUUUGGACCCACAGGUAGUUCAAGAGUGUGUUGUUUAAUUUCUAAAUAUUUGUGAAUUUUGCAGUUUUUCUAUUGUUACUGCUUUCUAGUUUUAUCACAUUGUGGCCAGAAAAGAUACUUGGUAUGAUUUCAAUCAUCAUAAAUUUGCUAAGAUUUAUUUUUUAACCUAACAUAUGUUUUAUCCUGGAUGAUGUUUUAUGUGCACUUGAGAAAAAUGUAUAUUCUAUACCAGCUGGAUGGAUAAUACAGUACAUGUUUCUUAGGUUCAUUUGGUCUGUAGGUGAUAUCAUUUGGAGUUGUGUCCCUGCCAAAAUCUCAUGUUGAAUUGUAAUUCCAAUGUUGGAUGAGGGGGCCUAAUGGGAGGUGACUGGAUCAUAGGGGCAGAAUUCCCCCUUGCUGUUCUUGUGAUAGUGGGUGAGUUCUCACUAGAUUUGGUUGUUUAAAAGUGUAUAGCACCUCCCCCUACUUUCUCUUCUUCCUGUUCCAGCCAUUAAGAUGUGCCUCCUUUCUUUUCACCUUCUGCCAUGAUUGUAAGUUUCCUGAGGCCUCCCCAGCCAUGCUUUAUGUACAGCCUGUGGAACUGUGAGUCAGUUAAACCCCUUUUCUUUAUAAAUUACCCAGUCUCAGGCAUUUUUUAUAGCAAUGUGAGAAUGGACUAAUGCAGAAAAUUGGUACCAAGAGUGGGGUAUUGCUAUAAAGGUACCUGAAAAUGUGGAAGCAGUUUCAGAACUGGGUAAAGGGCAGAGACUGGAACAGUUUGGAUGGCUUAGAAGAAGACAGGAAGAUGAGGGAAAGUUUGAAACUUUCUAGAGACUUGUUAAAUUGUUGUGACCAAAAUGCUGUUGGUGAUAUGGUUAACGAGGUCCAGGCUGAGGAGGUCUCAGAUGGAGAUGAGGAACUUAUUGGGAACUGGAGCAAAGGUCAAUUGUUAAUCAUUAGCAAAGAGGUU